rnacentral:RNase_P_RNA from 1 species
UGAGUGGUCCGUGCGAUCGCCGGUCGGUCCUCCUCGGAGGGCGGAUCGGAGGAAAGUCCGGGCUCCAGAGGGCAGGACGGUCCGUAACGCGGACGCCGGGUGACCGGCGGAAAGUGCCACAGAAAAUAAACCGCCCCGAUUCUCUGGAUCGGAGCAAGGGUGAAACGGUGGGGUAAGAGCCCACCGCCCCGGCGGUGACGUCGGGGGCACGGCAAACCCCGUCCGGAGCAAGACCAAGCAGGGGACCGGGCGGCCCGCUCAACGUCCCCGGGUAGGUCGCAAGAGGCGGACGGCAACGUCCGUCCCAGAUGAAUGAUCGCACUCGACAGAACCCGGCUUACAGGACCACUCGCCUC